CCUACGGGAGGCAGCAGUGGGGAAUAUUGCACAAUGGGGGAAACCCUGAUGCAGCGACGCCGCGUGAGUGAAGAAGUCUUUCGGUUUGUAAACUUCUAUCGGCAGGGAAGAUAAUGACGGUAUCUCACUAAGAAGCGCCGGCUAACUACGUGCCAGCAGCCGCGGUAAUACGUAGGGGGCAAGCGUUAUCCGGAUUUACUGGGUGUAAAGGGAGCGUAGCCGGGUGUGCAAGUCUGAUGUGAAAUCCCCUGGCUUAACCAUAGAACUGCAUUUGAAACUGUUAAUCUGGAGUGCAGGAGAGGUAGGCGGAAUUCCUAGUGUAGCGGUGAAAUGCGUAGAUAUUAGGAGGAACACCAGUGGCGAAGGCGGCCUACUGGACAGUAACUGACGUUGAGGCUCGAAAGCGUGGGGAGCAAACAGGAUUAGAUACCCUAGUAGUC
rnacentral:rRNA from 1 species